GACGAACGCUGGCGGCGUGCUUAACACAUGCAAGUCGAACGGAAAGGCCCUGCUUUUGUGGGGUGCUCGAGUGGCGAACGGGUGAGUAACACGUGAGUAACCUGCCCUUGACUUUGGGAUAACUUCAGGAAACUGGGGCUAAUACCGGAUAGGAGCUCCUGCUGCAUGGUGGGGGUUGGAAAGUUUCGGCGGUUGGGGAUGGACUCGCGGCUUAUCAGCUUGUUGGUGGGGUAGUGGCUUACCAAGGCUUUGACGGGUAGCCGGCCUGAGAGGGUGACCGGCCACAUUAGGACUGAGAUACGGCCCAGACUCCUACGGGAGGCAGCAGUGGGGAAUAUGGCACAAUGGGCGGAAGCCUGAUGCAGCAACGCCGCGUGCGGGAUGACGGCCUUCGGGUUGUAAACCGCUUUCGCCUGUGACGAAGCGUGAGUGACGGUAAUGGGUAAAGAAGCACCGGCUAACUACGUG
rnacentral:rRNA from 1 species